GGCAGCUGCAGAUGCGCUUCACGAGUCUUCUGAUUCAGGGACUUAGGCCGAAAGGACAGCCCCUAAUUUGGGACCUGCUGGUCUGACAAUAGAAAGAACUGAGCAAGAGAACUGACUGAACACGCCAUACUCCUUGUAGCUUCUGAACUGACUCAUAUUCCAUGAAUCCAAGCAGCUACUUUGAUGACCUCCUCAAAUGCAAUGCAAAAGCUGGACUCUCCUCCACCCCCAAGCACUCCCAGGCUCCUGGGCAGGGCCAUCAGCUCCACUCCAGCCAUCCCUCCAGACUGGUGCCUGAAAAAUAGAAUUUCUGCUCCAGACCCAAGCAUUUGCUGCUGUCAGGCAUUUCAAAGAGGACAAGACAACAAGGUGUUCUGAGACAAGCAGAGAAGUCUGCGCUUACUCAGGAGCCAAAUAAUGAGUGCCUUUGGAUUCCUGCCUUGCUGCUUGCUAUGAGACAGCCCUGACCACUCCCACUCCAAGACCUCAGUACGAAAACCCCUAAGCCUUCUCGGAAGGAGAGAAGGGACAGAAGACUGAGGGAAGAGAUGACGGAUAUCUGCAUGGAUAUGUGGCUGUGAAAAUUACAAGAAAUUAAUAACAAUAUAAUGAUAAUGAGUUA